rnacentral:rRNA from 1 species
GAUGAACGCUGGCGGCGUGCCUAAUACAUGCAAGUCGAGCGAACAGACGAGGAGCUUGCUCCUCUGACGUUAGCGGCGGACGGGUGAGUAACACGUGGAUAACCUACCUAUAAGACUGGGAUAACUUCGGGAAACCGGAGCUAAUACCGGAUAACAUGUUGAACCGCAUGGUUCAACAGUGAAAGACGGUCUUGCUGUCGCUUAUAGAUGGAUCCGCGCCGCAUUAGCUAGUUGGUAGGGUAACGGCUUACCAAGGCAACGAUGCGUAGCCGACCUGAGAGGGUGAUCGGCCACACUGGAACUGAGACACGGUCCAGACUCCUACGGGAGGCAGCAGUAGGGAAUCUUCCGCAAUGGGCGAAAGCCUGACGGAGCAACGCCGCGUGAGUGAAGAAGGUCUUCGGAGCGUAAAACUCUGUUAUUAGGGAAGAACAAAUGUGUAAGUAACUAUGCACGUCUUGACGGUACCUAAUCAGAAAGCCACGGCUAACUACGUG